rnacentral:rRNA from 1 species
UCGGGAAUUUUGGGCAAUGGGGGAAACCCUGACCCAGCAACGCCGCGUGAAGGAUGAAGUAUUUCGGUAUGUAAACUUCGAAAGAAUAGGAAGAAUAAAUGACGGUACUAUUUAUAAGGUCCGGCUAACUACGUGCCAGCAGCCGCGGUAAUACGUAGGGACCAAGCGUUGUUCGGAUUUACUGGGCGUAAAGGGCGCGUAGGCGGCAUGACAAGUCACUUGUGAAAUCUCUGGGCUUAACCCAGAACGGCCAAGUGAUACUGUCGCGCUAGAGUGCAGAAGGGGCAAUCGGAAUUCUUGGUGUAGCGGUGAAAUGCGUAGAUAUCAAGAGGAACACCUGAGGUGAAGACGGGUUGCUGGGCUGACACUGACGCUGAGGCGCGAAAGCAAGGGGAGCAAACAGGAUUAGAUACCCCAGUAGUCCCUGAGCGGGCUGGCAAGGCGCAU